rnacentral:rRNA from 1 species
GACGAACGCUGGCGGCGUGCUUAACACAUGCAAGUCGAACGGAAAGGCCCUGCUUUUGUGGGGUGCUCGAGUGGCGAACGGGUGAGUAACACGUGAGUAACCUGCCCUUGACUUUGGGAUAACUUCAGGAAACUGGGGCUAAUACCGGAUAGGAGCUCCUGCUGCAUGGUGGGGGUUGGAAAGUUUCGGCGGUUGGGGAUGGACUCGCGGCUUAUCAGCUUGUUGGUGGGGUAGUGGCUUACCAAGGCUUUGACGGGUAGCCGGCCUGAGAGGGUGACCGGCCACAUUGGGACUGAGAUACGGCCCAGACUCCUACGGGAGGCAGCAGUGGGGAAUAUUGAACAAUGGGCGGAAGCCUGAUGCAGCAACGCCGCGUGCGGGAUGACGGCCUUCGGGUUGUAAACCGCUUUCGCCUGUGACGAAGCGUGAGUGAGGGUAAUGGGUAAAGAAGCACCGGCUAACUAAGUG